rnacentral:rRNA from 1 species
AGGAUCAUUACCUAGAGUUGUAGGCUUUGCCUGCUAUCUCUUACCCAUGUCUUUUGAGUACCUUCGUUUCCUCGGUGGGUUCGCCCGCCGAUUGGACAUUAUUUAAACCCUUUGUAGUUGCAAUCAGCGUCUGAAAAAACUUAAUAGUUACAACUUUCAACAACGGAUCUCUUGGUUCUGGCAUCGAUGAAGAACGCAGCGAAAUGCGAUAAGUAGUGUGAAUUGCAGAAUUCAUGAAUCAUCGAAUCUUUGAACGCACAUUGCGCCCCUUGGUAUUCCAUGGGGCAUGCCUGUUCGAGCGUCAUUUGUACCUUCAAGCUCUGCUUGGUGUUGGGUGUUUGUCUCGCCUCUGCGUGUAGACUCGCCUCAAAACAAUUGGCAGCCGGCGUAUUGAUUUCGGAGCGCAGUACAUCUCGCGCUUUGCACUCAUAACGACGACGUCCAAAAAGUACAUUUUUACACUCUUGACCUCGGAUCAGGUAGGGAUACCCGCUGAACUUAAGCAUAUCAAUAAG